rnacentral:rRNA from 1 species
CAGUCGCCACGGGAAUACGGAGGGAGCUAGCGUUGUUCGGAAUUACUGGGCGUAAAGCGCGCGUAGGCGGUUACUCAAGUCAGAGGUGAAAGCCCGGGGCUCAACCCCGGAACUGCCUUUGAAACUAGGUGACUAGAAUCUUGGAGAGGUCAGUGGAAUUCCGAGUGUAGAGGUGAAAUUCGUAGAUAUUCGGAAGAACACCAGUGGCGAAGGCGACUGACUGGACAAGUAUUGACGCUGAGGUGCGAAAGCGUGGGGAGCAAACAGGAUUAGAUACCCGCGUAGUCCCUGUCUCUUAUAC